UAUUUCAACUGAAAAAGUCAUCAACAACAAAAUUGUAUAACUCAUCAAGAUCUAAAACUUUUAUUUUUGUCAUUUCUUCAUCCGACAAAGUGUUAGUAACAUUGUUCACAGUUUUUACAUAUAUGUGUUAUGGUUUAUAAAACCAGAUAAGAAAUAUGUCAAUUUGUGAACAAUGUUAUUAUCACUUUGUCAGAUAAAGAAAUGACCGUUUUACAUCUUGAUGAGUUAUUCAACUUUGUUGUUGAUAACUUUUUCAGUUGAAAUC
rnacentral:pre_miRNA from 1 species